ACGACCUUACUUGAACAGGAUCUGUUCUAUAGUAGUCGUACCGCUGCAUCCUUUACCAAUAAGGAGGCAAGCACUUAACCCUGGUUGAUGACAUGACACCUGUGGGCCAGAGCGUGAUUAACGGCAGGAUCAUCAGGCUGUGGAGGAUCGUUCCUGUUCAACACUAGCUGACCAUGGUGGCUCUCAGGUUGUCUGACAGGGC
rnacentral:snoRNA from 2 species